CUACGGGGGGCUCCAGUGGGGAAUAUUGCACAAUGGGCGCAAGCCUGAUGCAGCAACGCCGCGUGAGGGAUGAAGGCCUUCGGGUUGUAAACCUCUUUUAGCAGGGAAGAAGCGAAAGUGACGGUACCUGCAGAAAAAGCACCGGCUAACUACGUGCCAGCAGCCGCGGUAAUACGUAGGGUGCAAGCGUUGUCCGGAAUUAUUGGGCGUAAAGAGCUCGUAGGCGGUUUGUCACGUCUGCUGUGAAAAUCCAAGGCUCAACCUUGGACUGGCAGUGGGUACGGGCAGGCUAGAGUGCGGUAGGGGAGAUGGGAAUUCCUGGUGUAGCGGUGGAAUGCGCAGAUAUCAGGAGGAACACCAAUGGCGAAGGCACAUCUCUGGGCCGUAACUGACGCUGAGGAGCGAAAGCGUGGGGAGCGAACAGGAUUAGAUACCCGAGUAGUC
rnacentral:rRNA from 1 species